rnacentral:rRNA from 1 species
GUCUUUUUGAAUUUUAUUUAAAGUCUGACCUGCCCACUGAAAAUUGAAUGGCCGCAGUACACUAACUGUGCAAAGGUAGCAUAAUAAUUAGUCUUUUAAUUGAAGGCUGGAAUGAAUGGUUGGACGAAAUAUUAACUGUUUCAUUAAAAAUUUUUAUAGAACUUUAUUUUUUAGUCAAAAAGCUAAAAUGAUUUUAAAAGACGAGAAGACCCUAUAAAGCUUUAUAUUUAAUUUAAAUUAAAGGAAUAAGAUGUAUUUAAGUUUUUUUAAAUUAUUUAUUUUAUUGGGGUGAUAUUAAAAUUUAAAGAACUUUUAAUUUACAAAACCAUUAAUUUAUGAUUAAAUGAUCCACUUAUUGUGAUUAAAAAUUUAAGUUACUUUAGGGAUAACAGCGUAAUUUUUUUGGAGAGUUCAUAUCGAUAAAAAAGAUUGCGACCUCGAUGUUGGAUUAAGGAAUAAGUUUAGGCGCAGCCGUUUAAAUGAUAAGUCUGUUCGACUUUUAAA